CUAGAAUAAAAGUAGAUGUUCUUCAUAACUCAAAGAAUUUGGCGGUGAAUCGUAAUUUUAGAGGAACCUGUGUAUUAAUUGAUGAACCACGAUAGGUUAAACCUUUAUUUUUAUUUAUAUACCUCUAUAGUAGGAAUGUUUUUUAAGAAUAAUUUUCUUUUUGAUUAUUCUUCUAUGUUAGGUCAAGGUGUAGUUUUAUGAAGUGUUUAUGUGGGUUACUAUAGUUAUAAUUUAAAUUAUAGUUUUGGUAUUAGCUGAAUUAAUUUUAGGAUUUGAAAGUAACUUUAAUUAAUUAAUUAAUGUGAAUGGU
rnacentral:rRNA from 1 species